ensembl:lncRNA
CUUCCCUUUCCUUCCUUUCUUUUUGGUUUAGAGAAGCCCUUUCAAUAUUUCCUUUAACCUGGGUUUUGUGUUGCUGUAUUCUUUAAGUUUUUGUUUGUUGGGAAAAAUUUUUAUUUCCCCUUCUAUUUUAAAUGAUAUUCUUGCUGGAUAAAGUAUUCUAGGUUGCAUAUUUUUUCCUUUGAGCACUUUAAAUAUCUCUUGCCAUUCCCUCCUGGCCUGUAGUGUUUCUGUAGAGAAAUCAGCUGAUAUUCUUAUGGGGGUUCCCUUGUAGGUAACAUUCUGUUUUUCUCUUGCUGCCUUUAGGAUCCUCUCUUUAUCACUAACUUUUGCCAUUUUUAUUAUGAUGUGUCUUGGUGUGGGUCUGUUUGGGUUCAGUUUGUUUGGGGCCCUCUGUGCUUCUUGUAUCUUGAAUCCAGUAUCCUUUAGAUUUGGGAAGUUUCCAGCGAUAAUUUCUUCAAAUAUAUUUUCCAUUCCUUUAUCUUUUUCUACUCCUUCUGGAAUUCCUAUUAUGCGUAGAUUGGCCCGUUUUAUAUUAUCCCAUAGGUCUCUUAUAUUGCUUUCCAGUUUUUUGAUUCGGUUUUCUGUCUGUUGACCAGAUUGAGUGAUUUCCAUUAUUCUAUCUUCCAUAUCACUGAUUCGUUCUUCUGCAUUAUUCAUUCUGGUUUUUACUGCCCCUAGUUCAGUUUGCAUCUCUGCAAAUGAAUGUUCUAGUUUUUCUUGGCUCCUCCUUAUAUUUUCUAGCUCCUUUCUGAGGGUAUCUGCAUUGCUGUUCAUAUCUUCUCUUAAUUCCUUCAGUAUUUUCACUAUUUCUCUUUUGAACUCCAGGUCUGUCAGACUGCAGAGAUCAGUUUCAUUGUUGACUGUUUUAGGUGAGUUCUCCUGUUGGUUUGACUGGGGGUGGUUUCUCAGCUUCUUCAUCUUGCUUGUUGUCUUCUUUCUCCUGAGGGAGUUGUACUCUCCGUUAUCGGGUAGUGUUUGCCUUGUCACUGCCCUGGAAUAUUUCCUGAGGGCUGUCGUUGUUGGUCAAUCUUUUUUUGAGGCAGUGUGGCUUUUCUGGAGUGUUGAUGGGACUAACAGUGUUUCUUUGAAGCAAAGGAGGACUUCCUGAGGGCAGACAGGACUGGGAGGUCCACCCCACGAUGGUAGCAGAUUUCACUUGGUUCUCAGCACCCCCUGGGGUCUUGGGCGGGUAGCAGGGCCCUUGGAGACUCAAGAGGUUCCUCCCCAGGGCAGCCCGACUCAGAAAGACCGUCUGAGAUCUUUUCCCGAUUCCGCCAGGCUUGUUGCAGCUUUUCUGGGCUGCAGGGGGUCCUGCCGGGAGCUGGCAGGCUUGUGCAGCUGGUCCACUAGGUCUCAGCACCCCUUGGGGUCUUGGGCGGGUAGCAGGGCCCUUGGAGACUCAAGAGGCUCCUCCCCAGAACAGCCCGACUCAGAAAGACCGUCUGAGAUCUUUUCCCAAGUCGGCCAGGCUUGUUGCAGCUUUUCUGGGCUGCAGGGGGUCCUGCCUGGAGCUGGCAGUCCUAUGCAGCUGGUCCACUAGGUCUCAGCACCCCCUGGGGUCUUGGGCGGGUAGCAGGGCCCUUGGAGGCUCAAGAGGCUCCUCCCCAGGACAGCCCGACUCAGAAAGACCGUCUGAGAUCUUUUCCCAAGUCGGCCAGGCUUGUUGCAGCUUUUCUGGGCUGCAGGGGGUCCUGCCUGGAGCUGGCAGUCCUAUGCAGCUGGUCCACUAGGUCUCAGCACCCCCUGGGGUCUUGGGCGGGUAGCAGGGCCCUUGGAGGCUCAAGAGGCUCCUCCCCAGGACAGCCCGACUCAGAAAGACCGUCUGAGAUCUUUUCCCAAGUCGGCCAGGCUUGUUGCAGCUUUUCUGGGCUGCAGGGGGUCCUGCCUGGAGCUGGCAGUCCUAUGCAGCUGGUCCACUAGGUCUCAGCACCCCCUGGGGUCUUGGGCGGGUAGCAGGGCCCUUGGAGGCUCAAGAGGCUCCUCCCCAGGACAGCCCGACUCAGAAAGACCGUCUGAGAUCUUUUCCCGAUUCGGCCAGGCUUGUUGCAGCUUUUCUGGGCUGCAGGGGGUCCUGCCUGGAGCUGGCAGUCCUAUGCAGCUGGUCCACUAGGUCUCAGCACCCCCUGGGGUCUUGGGCGGGUAGCAGGGCCCUUGGAGGCUCAAGAGGCUCCUCCCCAGGACAGCCCGACUCAGAAAGACCGUCUGAGAUCUUUUCCCAAGUCGGCCAGGCUUGUUGCAGCUUUUCUGGGCUGCAGGGGGUCCUGCCUGGAGCUGGCAGUCCUAUGCAGCUGGUCCACUAGGUCUCAGCACCCCCUGGGGUCUUGGGCGGGUAGCAGGGCCCUUGGAGGCUCAAGAGGCUCCUCCCCAGGACAGCCCGACUCAGAAAGACCGUCUGAGAUCUUUUCCCAAGUCGGCCAGGCUUGUUGCAGCUUUUCUGGGCUGCAGGGGGUCCUGCCUGGAGCUGGCAGUCCUAUGCAGCUGGUCCACUAGGUCUCAGCACCCCCUGGGGUCUUGGGCGGGUAGCAGGGCCCUUGGAGGCUCAAGAGGCUCCUCCCCAGGACAGC